rnacentral:rRNA from 1 species
ACCAGACUCCUACGGGAGGCAGCAGUGGGGAAUAUUGGGCAAUGGGCGCAAGCCUGACCCAGCAACGCCGCGUGAAGGAAGAAGGCCCUCGGGUUGUAAACUUCUUUUGUCAGGGACGAAGAAAGUGACGGUACCUGACGAAUAAGCCACAGCUAACUACGUGCCAGCAGCCGCGGUAAUACGUAGGUGGCAAGCGUUGUCCGGAUUUACUGGGUGUAAAGGGCGUGUAGCCGGGUUGACAAGUCAGAUGUGAAAUCCUGCGGCUUAACCGCAGAACUGCAUUUGAGACUGUUGAUCUUGAGUACUGGGGAGGCAGACGGAAUUCCUAGUGUAGCGGUGAAAUGCGUAGAUAUUAGGAGGAACACCAGUGGCGAAGGCGGUCUGCUGGACAGCAACUGACGCUGAGGCGCGAAAGCGUGGGGAGCAAACAGGAUUAGAUACCCGCGUAC